rfam:Sporanaerobacter acetigenes DSM 13106 genome assembly, contig: EJ96DRAFT_scaffold00023.23
GUUAAUUAAAUAGAUUCGCCGUAGACAGUAGGAACCGAUAAGGUUUAAAUAUUCCUACCGAGGUGAGGCAGUGAACUCUAAUAUGUUAAUUUAUAAAAUUAAUUAUAGAGAAAAGGUCUCUCCAAGUCUACGGAGAGACCUUUAUUUGCGUGUUC